rnacentral:lncRNA from 1 species
AGUCAGAUCACAGGCACUAGGGGUGGAGGUCACGUCGGGCAGAGUCAGAUCACAGGCACUAGGGGUGGAGGUCACGUCGGGCAGAGUCAGAUCACAGGCACUAGGGGUGGAGGUCACGUCGGGCAGUCAGAUCGCAGGCACUAGGGGUGGAGGUCACGUCGGGCAGAGUCAGAUCACAGGCACUAGGGGUGGAGGUCACGUCGGGCAGAGUCAGAUCACAGGCACUAGGGGUGGAGGUCACGUCGGGCAGAGUCAGAUCGCAGGCACUAGGGGUGGAGGUCACGUCGGGCAGAGUCAGAUCGCAGGCACUAGGGGUGGAGGUCACGUCGGGCAGAGUCAGAUCGCAGGCACUAGGGGUGGAGGUCAUGUCGGGCAGUCAGAUCGCAGGCACUAGGGGUGGAG